ACGGCACUCACUCUAGUCUGGGCAACAAAGUGAGACUCUGUCUCUAAAAAAAUUUUUUAAAAAAUCCUUCUGAGCAGGUCAAAGAGAAAGGCUAAGUGUGGUGCUAGGUUACCUUCAACACCUCUCCAUCUCCUGCUCAUUUCCCCUCUUAACCAAAAGAGAGUAGGCCUCAUGCUGAUAACAGGCAAUGGUGCUGGCUGGAAUUUAAUAACUGGGUUUAUUUAUGGUUACCUUCCAUUUACCUAGUGACACUGCUUUUCCAUUAUGAUAGUGACACAAAAUCUCCUUUUCAAAUACAUUUGUUUUAAAAGUGAGGCAGCUGCAGGGGAAAAUAAUAUUAAGUGAAAAAUGAAAUAGACUUCUCAGUCAACGCUGCCGGUCGCACCACCCGCCCAGUGCCCGCUGCCGCCAUAGAAGUGCAGGUGGAGACCAUCUCCCCCAGGGACGGGCGCACCUUCCCAAAGCACGGCCAGACCUGCGUGGUGCACUACACCAGGAUGCUUGAAGAUGGAAAGAAAUUUGAUUCCUCCCGAGACAGAAACAAGCCCUUUAAGUUUAUGCUAGGCAAGCAGGAGGUGAUCCGAGCCUGGGAAGAAGGGGUUGCCCAGAUGAGUGUGGGUCAGAGAGCCAAACUGACUAUAUCUCCAGACUAUGCGUAUGGCACUACUGGGCACCCAGGCAUCAUCCCACCACACGCUACUCUCAUCUUUGACAUGGAGCUUAUGAAACUUGAAUGACAAGAAUGGCCUCCUCCCUUAGCUCCCUGUUUUUGGAUUGGCCAUGGAGGGAUCUCGUGCCUCCAGACGUGUGCACACGAAUCCAUAUGGAGCUUUUCCUGAUGUUCCACUAUACUCUGUAUAAACAUCUACCCCGACUGAAUGUGUUCUGUCACUCAGCUUCGCUUCCGACACCUCCAUUUCCCCCUCCCCUUCCUCCUUGUAUGUGUGUUUACCUAAACUAUAUGCCAUAAACCUCAAAAAAAAAAAAUGAAAUAGAGACAGUCAUGGGAUACAGUAAAAUAGUAAAAGUGGUUCUUUUACAAAUGACUGAAGUUUAGGAAACACAGACCUCGUCCCAUUCUCCCAUUUUAUAGAUGGGGAGAAAGGUUCAGGGAGAGGCCCAGCGAUGGCAGAAGUAGGCCCAGGAAUGAGAGUCAGUUUCUGAGUCCUGCCAUCUGCCUGGGACCUGCAAUCUUGCCAAAUCCAGCAUGCCUGAACCUUUCCCAAAACCAGAAACUGGUCCCUGGAAGGAGAGUGGACUAACACCUGCUGAUCGUUCUGAUAACAGCUAACCUAUGCUCAGCUUUAAUAGCUGGAGAAACAGAAGCCAUUCUGCAAGUGUUUUAAAUUUUUGUCAUGUGGAAAAAGUACCCAGGCUGACUAAUACCUUCCCAUUAUUAAAACAUAAAGAAAGAUCCGCAUUAGUCACUACUCAAGUAAACUCACACAAGUUCUACCUUUAGGAAAGGUUUGGGCGUUCCCUAGCCCCACGAGAGAGGGCCUAAAAAUGAUCCUCAGUAACCCUGAAGUAUUGGAAGUCUGACCCAACCGUGGAAAUAACAGGCAGCUUGUGUCCGAGGGGCAACGGGGAAGCAGGUGGUACAUGCAAGACACAGGCCCCUCUGCCUGGCAGGGCACAGACUCCUGAAGAGGACUGAGAGAGCCGCCCUCAACCUCCCACACCCACCCACACCCACUCUGGUCUCAGGACCCACAGAACUCACUGUCAACAGCCUUGUCUGGCCACCUAGCCCUGAAACCUAGGUGCUGUCUGUGCAGGCUACAAUCCAGAAGUCCAGUUUCCAAGCACUAACAACUGUAAAAACAUUGUCACCAGCUCCAAGGCAUGAGGUUGGACAGUGCUGGAGUUUAAGGCUACACCCAGGGAAGCAAAAAUCUUGGCAGGUGGCACAGGCAGCCCCACCAUGAUCCCAGAUGUCAAAGGGCCAGAGAAAGCAGUGUGCAGGGCCAGGGCAGGGAUGAGUUAGACUCCUGGGGGCGGGAGCAGCUAGUGCAGCCCCACUUUGCUCCAGCUGAAAGCGCACAAGGCAGUCAGCACAGCCCCAGCCUCAGCAGGGACCGACGCUGAAGAUCUCCGGGUGUCCUUCCAGCUCCGACUUCUUCCUCCUGCUCCACCAAGCCCUGAAAAGAGAAAUAGGAGCCACCACAUGGCAUUAAGAUGAAGACUUAUUUUUCCAAAGGUAAGUGGUAGGUGUAGGGCCCUGCAGCACUAAUGCUGAUGCUAACAAUAUAAUCUCAGCAGCAGUAAUUUACUGAACAUUUACUACAAGCCAGGCUCAGGGCCAAGAGCUUCAGAUGCACAUUCUCUUUUAUUCCUCAGCCCCCCAGCCCCCCCCCAAGGCAGGACAUUUUCUAAUAUUAUCACAUUUUGCAUAUGAAAGACAGGCUGCUGGAGGGUAGCAGCUUCCUGGGGUUGGACAACUAGAAAGGAACAGAGCCAACUAGAAAGGAACAG